AGGGAACCGCCUGAACUGAAACAUCUAAGUAGGGCGAGGAAGAGACAUCAAACGAGAUUCCGUAAGUAGUGGCGAGCGAACGCGGAAGAGGGCAAACCGAGAGUAGAAAUACUUUCGGGGUACGGAGCGCAUUUAGGACUUAAGUUGUUAACCGAACGGCAUGGGAAGGCCGGUCAGAGAGUGUGAGAACCACGUAGGUGAAAACGGAGAGAGCUGCGCAGAAUCCAGAGUACGGCCAGACACGUGAAACCUGGUCGGAAUACGGGGGGACCACCCUCCAACCCUAAAUACUACCCAGUGACCGAUAGCGUAUAGUACUGUGAAGGAAAGGUGAAAAGCACCCCGGGAGGGGAGUGAAAAAGAACCUGAAACCCUGUGCCUACAAGCACCUAGAGCGCGUCAAAGCGUGAUAGGGUACUUUUUGUAGAACGGUCCGGCGAGCGAUUGUAUGCAGCAAGGUUAAGGACUUAAGGUCUGGAGCCGAAGCGAAAGCGAGUUUGAAAAGGGCGUUAAGUUGCAUAUAAUGGGCCCGAAACCGGGUGACCUACCCAUGGUCAGGUUGAAGUGGAAGUAAAAUUCCAUGGAGGACCGAACCGACCUCCGUUGAAAAGGCGGCGGAUGAACUGUGGGUAGCGGAGAAAUUCCAAUCGAACCCGGAGAUAGCUGGUUCUCCCCGAAAUAGUUUUAGGACUAGCCUCAAGUUAGAUACCUGGAGGUAAAGCACUGAAUAGCCUAGCGGCCGAGAGGUUAGCGAAGCUUAUCAAACUCAGAAUGCCAGAGUAUUGAUGCUUGGGAGUCAGACAGUGUCAGAUAAAUGUCAUUGUCAAAAGGGAAACAGCCCAGAUCUACAGCUAAGGUCCCAAAGUCAGGUUAAGUGGAAAACGAUGUGAAGAUACGUAGACAACCAGGAUGUUGGCUCAGAAGCAGCCAUACAUUCAAAGAGUGCGUAAUAGCUCACUGGUCGAGCGUCUUUGCGCGGAGAAUUUAACGGGGCUAAACCUGACACCGAAGCUUAGGCAGCAUGAUUACAUGCUGGGUAGGGGAGCGUUGUAUACGCGGUGAAACAGUAGCGCAAGCGGCUGUGGAGUGUAUAGAAGUGAGAAUGCCGGAAUGAGUAGCGCGAAUGCAGUGAGAAUCUGCAUGGCCGAAAGCCUCAGGUUUUUGGAGGAAGGUUCGUCCGCUCCAAGUUAGUCGGGAGCUAAGGUGAGGCCUAACGGCGUAGCCGAUGCACAGACGGUAGAGAUUCCGUCACCACCAAAAGAGUUAAACACAGGGACACAUAUGAAGUCUCGGAGCCGGGUGUUGGUUCCGGUAGCGAUCGAGGGAAAUUAGUACCGAAGUCCGGGAUGGAAGAUGGCGAGAAAAGCUGUGUGUAUUUCUGCGGUGCCCGUACCGCAAACCGACACAGGUAGGUAGGAAGAAGAUUCUAAGGCCAACGGGAGAAGGGUUGUUAAGGAACUCGGCAAAUUGACCCCGUAACUUCGGGAGAAGGGGUGCUGCAGCAAUGCAGCCGCAGAGAAUCGGCCCAAGCAACUGUUUACCAAAAACACAGGUUUGUGCUAAAUCGAAAGAUGACGUAUACGAGCUGACGCCUGCCCGGUGCUGGAAGGUUAAGAGGAGAUGUGCAAGCAUUGAAUCGAAGCCCCAGUGAACGGCGGCCGUAACUAUAACGGUCCUAAGGUAGCGAAAUUCCUUGUCAGGUAAGUUCUGACCCGCAUGAAAGGCGUAAUGAUUUGGGCACUGUCUCAACAGCCCGCCCGGCGAAAUUGUAGUACCGGUGAAGAUGCCGGUUACCCGCGACAAGACGGAAAGACCCCAUGGAGCUUUACUGUAGCCUAAUAUUGGGUUUCGAUGUUGCAUGCACAGGAUAGAUGGGACACAGGGAAACAAGUGCUUUGGCAUUUGUGGAGUGGCCGUUGGGAUACCAUCCUUGCGAUAUUGGAAUUCUAACCUGCGCCUUUGAAUCAAGGCGGGGGACAUUGUUAGGUGGGCAGUUUGACUGGGGCGGUCGCCUCCUAAAGAGUAACGGAGGCGUUCAAAGGUUCGCUCAGCUUGAACGGAAAUCAAGCAAAAGAGUGCAAACGCAGAAGCGAGCCUAACUGCGAGACUGACGGGUCGAGCAGUAACGAAAGUUGGAGUU
rnacentral:rRNA from 1 species